ACCUACGGGACGCAGCAGUAGGGAAUCUUCCACAAUGGGCGAAAGCCUGAUGGAGCAACGCCGCGUGGGUGAAGAAGGUCUUCGGAUCGUAAAACCCUGUUGUUAGAGAAGAAAGUGCGUGAGAGUAACUGUUCACGUUUCGACGGUAUCUAACCAGAAAGCCACGGCUAACUACGUGCCAGCAGCCGCGGUAAUACGUAGGUGGCAAGCGUUAUCCGGAUUUAUUGGGCGUAAAGGGAACGCAGGCGGUCCUUUAAGUCUGAUGUUAAAACCUUCGGCUUAACCGGAGUAGUGCAUUGGAAACU
rnacentral:rRNA from 1 species